GGGCCUAUCUCACUGGGGGAAGGGGAAGGCAUUCCUUGAGAGUAGGGCCAGCUGGGAGGAAAACCAAUUCAGGGACUGCUCGAGCAGCCAGAGCCUCCUGAGGGAAGCAGGAGAGUUGUGCUGUUGUUGUUCCUAGCACCUCUCGGCCCCAGGACUGUGCAGAGGAAGCCCCUUCUCCAGGGCCCUACUACGAGCCACGCAGGUGCCCCCCACCCUCCAGCUACGUCAUCUUGGGGAAACCUGCAGGGAGAGGCCGGAGAAGAGACUGAGCUGAAGGAGCAGUUGCAGAAGCUCCUUACACAGGAACCAAUGGAGAUUGAUUACAAACUCUCCAGGACAGGCACAGGCAGCUACUCAAUUUGCAUAAGGCCAAGUUCAACGGAGAUAUAGACUUGGUUGGAGACUAUGGUAAUGAAUGGCUAAUAAUAAUCAAACAAGAGCUAGUAAUUGUGAUACAUGCAGCUACAUUCCUGGAAUAUAUUUGUUUUUUCUAAAUGACUGAUUGGGGUGCCCUAUUAAGCAUAAAUCUUCUUGUCCUCAUCAGAGGAUUCAGAUUCUAUUAACUGAUUAUUCAUGCUAGAUGCUGGUGGAAAAAAGCUGUUAAUAGUCAGUUAUUUUUAUUACUAUUUGCAUAUUCAUUAUGCACAGACAAAUACAUGUUUCUGUAUUUUCCAUACUGAGGCUUGUGUUCCCACAUGCUAUUCCGACAUGUACUCUGCCGCACCACUCCUGCAUCGUCAUGUCUGUGGCACAUUCAUUAGCAAAACGUAUACAAAGUAUUUUGAUUAAAACAUCAUGUAAACUUUAGUGUUCAAUAUGCUAAGGGAGAGAGUCCCUUUCUCUGAACAACAAGAAACAUGAACUGUUUAGUUUAAACAAUUAUAUGAAAAAGCAUAAAUAUGUAGUUCCAUUCAGGGAUGAUUUCAAUAAACAUGUCACUGUGGAGCUCAGUAUUUCUCAUAUUGUUGAUUGUUUUAGUAAGCAAACAGUCCCCCAACUUGGCAGUAAUUAAUCUUACAUCAAAUCUGUUGGUUAUUCUGUUGGGAGCUAGUGCCAGGUUUGUGGAUGUGGGCGUGGGCCUAGGUGUUGUUUUAUUCCAAACAAUGGAUCAAACUCUACAACAAACAUUUUUUUAAAUACUUUUGUGUGUGUUUUGGAAAUUCCUUAUGAAUUAGUAAGAGGUGGUUGGUUUGUUUGUUUGUUUUUCAAAAUUAAAGACUUUGGCAGUCAUUCUACAGUGAAGUUAUCUAGACAUCUUUUUAAUUCUCUGCUCAA